rnacentral:siRNA from 1 species
AGGAGAUUCUGCACUCAGAGAUGG